ensembl:lncRNA
CGUAGAAGAAGUGUGCAGCCCUGACAGUGCAGCCUCCAACUCUGCAGGCAGAACAGGAAUAGGGCUGGUGGAAAAUACAGGUCGAUGGUCGGCAGAAUCAAGAUAGCGAGUGUGUCACCAAUGCAGGGGGUUCAGGCCGCAGUGGCUCCAGGAAGGCAUGUUGGAGACAGGUCGGGACCAGCAGGAAUACGGAGUACAGAUGUCUAUGAUCUGGCAGCGUGUGGAUGAAUAACCCGGGCUUUAAUGGUGAUUGUUCACAUGUGCGCCGAUCCCCGCAGCUGUCUCCAAUACCUGCAGUUAGGCUUAUACAUAGCUACCUUGUCGUCACCCGCUGGUUUCUAAAAUGCUACUUUCUGAUUGACAUGCAGUGUUGGAGCCAGAAACGAAAAAAAAGAUUGAAAGAGGGCGGAGCCAGAGAGCAGUGAUUGGUCAGACUGACUGCGAGCCGCAUGACUGUCUGCCCGCCCACAUUUGACAAACAUCUGUUGAAAUGAUCCUCUUUCAGAAACAGUUAAGUUCUUGAGGACUGUAAUGUAUUAAGGUUAAUGCCUAACAGGCAUCCAUAGUUUUGAGUAUGAUAACACAGAAGUGGGUGUAUAAGCCUGAGCUAAAGCAGCCUGUAGCAAAAUGUAACAAGCCAAGUAAAGUGUAUUGCUGAGGUGGUUCAACAGCCUGAUUGCCUGUGGGAAGAAGCUGCUGCACACUAUAAAACCUACCUGGAAACAGAAUUAGCUGUUCAGAAUGGAUGUCAGAGGAGCAAGAGGUCAUGUUGGAAGAAGAGGACGUGGAUGACCCAGACCACUGCCAGAACCAGAACCUGGACCUGCCCAUGCACCUGGUCCUAGACCACUUUACAUGAGAGUUUUUCAAUUGGAUUCUGAUGAUGCACAUGAAUACAUCUGGGACAAUGUUAGUUUUCAUAGACGACUAUUAAUUUAGUAAUGGUUCAAUAUGAACCCUCACGGUAUUGUGGUUUUUCUGCCGUCAUAUUCUCCCUUUCUGAAUCCUAUAGAAGAAUUCUUCUCUACAUGGAGGUGGAAGGUAUAUGAGCAGCAGCCAUACUUUGGGAAAAUCUCUUGCAAUCAGUGGUCUUGACAUGUGGUGAUGUUUCUGUUGAUGCAUGUCAGGGCUGGAUCAGACACACUAGGUCUUUCUUUCCACGUUCCCUGGCCAGAGAAAACAUAGCUUGUGAUGUUGAUGAGGUCCUGUGGUCUGACCAGGCUGAAAGAAUUGAUGCAGAUGUGGUGUAAAUAUUUGCAUACUGUACUGUGUACAAUACAGUGCUGUAUUUUUUGUCUAGCAUUAUUUUUAUUUUAUAAUGUACAGUCAGGCACUGCAAUGACCCCGUCUGAUUUAUUUAUCGGAUGCAUUUGUGUUUAAGUUGUCAUUUUUGAGGACUGUAUCAUAUUUUUACACUUCAUAUGAAAACACAGUGAGAGAAGAGUGUUUUGUAUUUAGCAGUGCAGUGUCCUAGUUUUGCUUCUUGUGUCUUAAUUUUGAAAACAAAGUUCAAAUUUUGACAAUAAAGUGCGCUUUUGACACAAGUGUGCAGUG